AGGACGAACGCUGGCGGCGUGCUUAACACAUGCAAGUCGAGCGGAAAGGCCCUUCGGGGUACUCGAGCGGCGAACGGGUGAGUAGCACGUGAGUAAUCUGCCCCUAGCUCUGGGAUAGCUCCGGGAAACCGGGAUUAAUACCAGAUACGACCACUUUAGACAUCUGUUGUGGUGGAAAGAAUUUUGGCUAGGGAUGAGCUCGCGGCCUAUCAGCUUGUUGGUGAGGUAACGGCUCACCAAGGCGACGACGGGUAGCCGGCCUGAGAGGGCGACCGGCCACACUGGGACUGAGACACGGCCCAGACUCCUACGGGAGGCAGCAGUGGGGAAUAUUGCGCAAUGGGCGAAAGCCUGACGCAGCGACGCCGCGUGGGGGAUGAAGGCCUUCGGGUUGUAACCCUUUCAGCAGGGACGAAGCGAAGUGACGGUACCUGCAGAAGAAGCGCCGGCUAACUACGUGCCAGCAGCCGCGGUA
rnacentral:rRNA from 1 species